UCACAAUGAUGACUGUUUCCAAUUCAUUCGCAGUUUCCCCCAGAAAGGUUUAGUCCAUGUGUUGGUUUGACCUUCCUUGGAUGUCUGAGUGA